ACAUGCAAGUCGAACGAUGAAGCUACAGCUUGCUGUGGUGGAUUAGUGGCGAACGGGUGAGUAAUACGUGAGUAACCUGCCCUUGUCUUUGGGAUAAGCCUGGGAAACUGGGUCUAAUACCGGAUAUUCUGCUUUCAUCGCAUGGUGGGGGUUGGAAAGGGUUUCUGGAUAGGGAUGGGCUCACGGCCUAUCAGCUUGUUGGUGGGGUGAUGGCCUACCAAGGCGUCGACGGGUAGCCGGCCUGAGAGGGUGACCGGCCACAUUGGGACUGAGAUACGGCCCAGACUCCUACGGGAGGCAGCAGUGGGGAAUAUUGCACAAUGGACGCAAGUCUGAUGCAGCGACGCCGCGUGGGGGAUGAAGGCUUUCGGGUUGUAAACUCCUUUCAGUACAGAACAAGGCCUUUUUGGUUGAGGGUAUGUGCAGAAGAAGCGCCGGCUAACUACGUGCCAGCAGCCGCGGUAAUACGUAGGGCGCGAGCGUUGUCCGGAAUUAUUGGGCGUAAAGAGCUCGUAGGCGGUUUGUUGCGCCUGCUGUGAAAGACCGGGGCUUAACUUCGGGGUUGCAGUGGGUACGGGCAGACUAGAGUGUGGUAGGGGUAAUUGGAAUUCCUGGUGUAGCGGUGGAAUGCGCAGAUAUCAGGAGGAACACCCGAUGGCGAAGGCAGGUUACUGGG
rnacentral:rRNA from 1 species